UACGAAGGGUGCAAGCGUUAAUCGGAAUUACUGGGCGUAAAGCGUGCGUAGGCGGCCUGUUGCGUCCGCUGUGAAAUCCCGGGGCUCAACCCCCGGGCGUGCAGUGGAUACGGGCUGGCUGGAGGCAGGCAGGGGAGAACGGAAUUCCUGGUGUAGCGGUGAAAUGCGUAGAUAUCAGGAAGAACACCCGUGGCUAAGGCGGCUCUCUAGUACGGUACUGACGCUGAGACGCGAAAGCGUGGGGAGCGAACAGG
rnacentral:rRNA from 1 species